AAUUUAUGUACAAAAAGUGAACGGAAAAAAAAUUUAAAACACAUACAUACAGGCUCUUGACUUGGGAGUGUUAUUGCGCUAGGAAAAUUUCUUAAUUUCCUACCAGUGGUAAAGGACAUUAUAUUGUCAGAGCUAUACUUUCAAAAAUUAUAUGGACCUUGACAAAAGUUAGAAUGUGCUAUUGCAAUCCCCAUGAAGUCCA
rnacentral:lncRNA from 1 species